UCAAACUUGGUCAUUUAGAGGAAGUAAAAGUCGUAACAAGGUUUCCGUAGGUGAACCUGCGGAAGGAUCAUUCAUAAUAAGAGUGUUUUUCUCGUAUGGCACUCUUUCAAAACAAUCCAUACCCACCUUGUGUGCAAUGUAGAAGAAGAAGGAUCGUGGUUAUUUUGAACCAUGACUCCUCUUUCUUUCAUUCUAUACACCUUUUUAUCCAAUUGUCUAUUGUCUGAAGUGAAGAAUUAAACAAAUUCUAAAUACAACUUUCAACAACGGAUCUCUUGGCUCUCGCAUCGAUGAAGAACGCAGC
rnacentral:misc_RNA from 1 species